CCUACGGGUGGCAGCAGUGAGGAAUAUUGGUCAAUGGACGAGAGUCUGAACCAGCCAAGUAGCGUGAAGGAUGACUGCCCUAUGGGUUGUAAACUUCUUUUAUAUGGGAAUAAAAUGUUCCACGUGUGGGAUUUUGUAUGUACCAUAUGAAUAAGGAUCGGCGAACUCCGUGCCAGCAGCCGCGGUAAUACGGAGGAUCCGAGCGUUAUCCGGAUUUAUUGGGUUUAAAGGGAGCGUAGGUGGAUUGUUAAGUCAGUUGUGAAAGUUUGCGGCUCAACCGUAAAAUUGCAGUUGAUACUGGCAGUCUUGAGUACAGUAGCGGUGUGCGGAAUUCGUGGUGUAGCGGUGAAAUGCUUAGAUAUCACGAAGAACUCCGAUUGCGAAGGCAGCUUACUGGACUGCAACUGACACUGAGGCUCGAAAGUGUGGGUAUCAAACAGGAUUAGAUACCCGUGUAGUC
rnacentral:rRNA from 1 species